CUGCUGCCCAGACUACACAUUAUAAAGGUGGUGGCCAGGAAGUACCGUGGCUUUGAGAUCCCGGCGGAGAUGGUGGGGGUGUGGCGCUAUCUGAACCACGCCUACAAGAGGGAAGAGUUUACUAACACCUGUCCUGUUGAGCACGAAAUCGAAUUUGCCUACAUAGAUGUGGCCAAACGAAUCAAAUAGCGAGAGGGGGAGGAGGGAGAGACUGAGAAGGCCCAAUCCCAAAUUGUAUGUGUGUGUGCGUGUGUGUGUCUUUGUGCACUCACAGGUUGGGUUGCGCGGCACUCAUAUGUAGUGUCAUGCCUGCUGUGAAUGAAAGACCACUAGACAGAGAGGUCUGCAUCCAUUUCACAUCCAGUCCUUUUGGCCAAAGCCCUCUGCGGUGCACUAUAAUACAGGUAUAUGGUGUCAUUGAAGACGCAGACACUGUUAGAAACCUAGAGUACGAACACUAACAGCGUAUAGUACUARCUACUAAUACUGCAACAUUGUAAAACUAUCCUAAAGCAGCCAUAAGCAUUCAUUAGAGUGUUAUAACCUCUGUGUCUUAGAGGUAUAGCAGAGCACAGGUAGACAUGCCAUACUUAUAUGAAUAUGCAACACUUUGGCCUUGACCACAGUAUUAACCUAUAUCUAAAAAAUUAACAUACAUAUACUUUAUAAAUUCACUUUUCAUUAGUUUCUCCCCCGUCUUAUUUUGGCUAUCUAUGGGUGAAUAAUAAUCAAUAGUAAAAACCUUUUUGAUGUCAAGGUCUGACUUUUCUAUUUGUACGUUUUGUAAAAGCAAAUCUGCUUUAAUACCAUUUAUAUCGAAUUCUAUUGACCAUAACAUGAUUGUGGGUGGGGCUUUCUGUUGAGAAGCUCACCUGUUUGGGCCUUCCUGAACAUGCAGGUUGAAUCGGAAGCCAUUUUGAUUGUGGCGGAAGUGUGUACUGUAUCUCUCUAUGCACCAAACAAAUACUGACACAACCCUGUGUACUCGCCUUAUAAUCCUCACCAGAGGAGACUUUAUUAAACUGAUUUCAGAACA